rnacentral:rRNA from 1 species
GAUGAACGCUGGCGGCGUGCCUAAUACAUGCAAGUCGAGCGAACAGACGAGGAGCUUGCUCCUCUGACGUUAGCGGCGGACGGGUGAGUAACACGUGGAUAACCUACCUAUAAGACUGGGAUAACUUCGGGAAACCGGAGCUAAUACCGGAUAAUAUAUUGAACCGCAUGGUUCAAUAGUGAAAGACGGUUUUGCUGUCACUUAUAGAUGGAUCCGCGCCGCAUUAGCUAGUUGGUAAGGUAACGGCUUACCAAGGCGACGAUGCGUAGCCGACCUGAGAGGGUGAUCGGCCACACUGGAACUGAGACACGGUCCAGACUCCUACGGGAGGCAGCAGUAGGGAAUCUUCCGCAAAGGGCGAAAGCCUGACGGAGCAACGCCGCGUGAGUGAUGAAGGUCUUCGGAUCGUAAAACUCUGUAAUUAGGGAAGAACAAAUGUGUAAGUAACUAUGCACGUCUUGACGGUACCUAAUCAGAAAGCCACGGCUAACUACGUG